GGUGUACUGUAGCCAGCUCUAUUAGCAUGACACUUUUAAGAACACACUCUAAGCAUAAUGUGGGUUAAGUUCAGCUGCACAUUUGAAACAUGCAGAAUGUCCCGAUUUGUCUCAUCGUUCACGAAAUCAAGUGUGAAAACGGUGCGAGUAGCAAAAUGCGGGAUUUAAUAGUGGCGAGGGAUGACCUGAGAGUGAAACGGCCCUGCUAUGGUAAGUGCCCUCGCUAAUGGGGAAGUUCCCUUACCAGGGUUAGUAACCCUGCUUCUCCUGCUGUUCCGAGGCCUUGUACUGGCAGCGUUCAUCACUGUUUCCAUUCCUCUUUUCAGUAAUGUAAAUGAGAAGCCCGCGACGUGUGGAUGCGGAGAGAAACCUGCUCGUGCCUCACUUCUCAGAAGUCCACACGUAGCACAGUUUCAGUUGUAUUGGAACCGUGGUUCACGUGUGGAGUGUUGCCGUGACGACAGUCAACGCUGCCUCCAGCUCCAACGCACUCAGGUAGGCACAGGUACCUGGGCCCAAAGUUUUGUCACUCAUCCCCCCCCAACUCCUCACGGCUUGUCCAGAAACAGGCGGUUCUAAAAUGUGUAGAAAAAAAAAAAAAUGCAGCAUGUAAAAAAGGAUGUUUUUUCACCAUAGCAGAUUUUGCUGUUACCAAGCGUGGUUGUGCAUUUUUUUUAUGGCGUGCUGAAAAGGUAAACAAUAACACUGUUUCCACAGGAAAUGACAGGUGUUAACCUGGUCCUUAUGUAAGGGCUUCGCUUUACCCUGAAACCAGCAGGGCGUCUGACAGUGUGCCUCGUUCUGCAAGAGCCCUCGGCAGUGGCGGCAGUGUCAUGUGAGGUGUCCCCAGCACAGUGCCAUCAGUGUUCACUUUCUCUUAGUUGACGCCUUUUACCAGCGCGGCCAAGUUCGGCCGACAUCUUGUUCGCCGUUUCCGUUACCCUGCUCUUGUGCAUUCCUCGCGCUGCACGGCAGCUCUCGUGUUGCUUUUGCCAGAACGUCGAACCCGAGCGCUUCUCGGCGUUCAUCUUGCUUAGCAGUGAGUGUUUGCCCGGCGCCUUUUGUUUACUUGCGGCUUCGCGAAGGUACGGCAGGGUGUACCGGCCUCCAUCGGUGUGCUCUUUCUGCCAUUUGUGGUUAAAGCUCUCAGUGCAGGGCUUCCUGUACACAACCUUGUCAUUCCUGCAGCACUACGGUGUGGAGACGGGUGCGAGAUGUGAACAUGUGGGCUUCCUUGUAAUAUCUUUUUAAUGAUAAAGCAGUACAGUAGGUCCACGGGGGAAAGUGACGGCGUUUUCGCUGUGGAGCGAACACGGUAAUACACUCCUUUCGUCCAAGAAGACAAUUGAAAUGGUGGUGAUCACUGGUGUUCGAGUGCUCUUCCAGAUC
rnacentral:lncRNA from 1 species